rnacentral:lncRNA from 1 species
AGUCUGCAUAAAACAGCGGAGGGCUGAGUCUGAGCAUGAGCCGUCAUGGCUAUGGAGUGCCUGGACACUUUCUCUGCCUAAAAGCAGUAAGCAUCCCUUUACUUCCCAGUACUCAGGAGGCAGAAGCAGGCAGAUCUGAGUUUAAGCCAGCCUGGUCUACAGAUCCAGGACAGCCAUGGCUACACAGAGAAGCUUUGUUUCUCACAAAACAAAGAAGCAGAGCAGCAGCAGCAGGAUUAUCAUGUACUGACUCAUGGGGCACGUGUGGAGAAAUCUUUCCUUGGGUGUCCCUGUGCAUCCAACCAGGUCCAUGUGAGCCUCACUCACUGUGAGCUCUCACUUCUUUUACCCAGUGCUGUGCUGACAUCAUGAAGAGAUGGACAGGGAACAAGGCUGUAAUGCUGGCUUUACUUAGCUCACAUAAAAGGCGGUGCCCCUCUGCUGGUCCUUUCUGGUGUUUCCCCAGAGUGAAAAUACUCACAGUGCAUUUCCUCUCACUCUCAACUAGUGACGUCCCCACCCCAGAUGCAAGGAAUAUAUGGUCAUGGGCACACCUCUCUCCUCUGUACAGAGUAGGGUACAGCCUUUCCUACCCACAAGUUAUAUCCAAAAAAUAAAGUGGAUCGUCUGUGAAGUGCUUUUGCUGUGUGUAUUAUCAUCAUAAUUUUAUACUGCCUCAUCUAUAGCAAUAUGUCCAGCAGGCAGGGCCACCAGUACCGCAAGGCCUUCCUACUCUAGUCUGAUAGAGCCCAGUGCCCACAGAGUCGAGAAGGGGUGGAAGUGUCAUGACGCUUUCUUUACCUCUUAAAACAAUGUCUUCAGGUCCUCUUUCUCUAAGGAUAAAAGUCAGAUUUUCCUUAGAUGAUAAUGACACUGUCAUUCCAAAGCACUGUCUGAGUCCUGGGGACAGAGUAAAGAGCAAAGAACUUAGCAGUCAAACCGAGGCUGUGGGCAACAGGGGUGUGACUCUAACCCUGGUUCCACAGCCUUAAGCUUCUGCCUGCUUCUUCCAAGGAGUGGUGGGUGUAGGGGCCAUUUAAGAAAGGAGCACAUAAUUUAUCUCUAUUUCUCCUUUAAAAAAUAGCAUAUGCUUAUUUUCCUUUAGUCUUUUAUAUUACAGAGCUAUCAUCCUUUACCCCAGAGUCAUCUAGAAUACCAACUUACAUGCCAUAUAGUUCCUCAAGCCCAAAGCAUUAGGGGUACCACCCAGUGCGUCAUGAGGUCCCUUGAUGUAGCUGUCACAUGCCCAGACCUCACUGCACUGGUCCAGCCUUGGAUGUCCUAAUGAGGAAAACAGGAAUAAUUGUCAUCCCAGAGUUCUGCAUACACCACUACCUGACAGGCAGGAUAAUAGUGGGGCCUUACAGGACGCUAUGUAACUUUCUUCAGUCUGUGGGUAUUCAAUGACAGGACACCCUGGCCUGGGCCAGAACCAGCAAGCCAAACUGCCAAUUUCUCUGCCAGAUGCCCAAGAGGCCCGUUGUGAGCUUGGCCACACUACUGCAGUGUCUGUAUAGAUGGUUCCAUUUUUCUUAGAUGAAGGAUUUCCCCAUCAUGCCCUAGUGCGCCUCUCAAGAGCUUCAGAACAGGGCUAGCCCGAGUGUGGCGGGAGGGGCUCCCGCUGGCAGUCGUGAACCGCAUCUCUGUGCAGACCUCCGAUCUGUGAGCCGCAGGAGUGCUGCUUCCUGCCAUGCCGAUGCCCCAUCAAAGCUUUUGUGCUAAACCAUCAGCGUCCAGACUGUGGGGUCUGUGAAAUGGCCAAACACUUGCCUCGAUCACACCAGUAACAGAGCCUCCCAGGCCUUGCCUAAGUGGCUCUCACAACCUGCUGGAUAUAACACUAUUCAAUGCU